rnacentral:rRNA from 1 species
CGAGAGAGAAAGGAGAGAGGGGCAAAGCCCUAGGCCGCUCUCUGGUCAGGUCUCGGUUCGGGUUCGGGCGUGCGGCUACCGCUGGCUGCGGCUGCUCCGGGGCGACGAGCGGCUGCUCGGGGACGCCGGCCCUAGGACGUCGGCCCUCGAGCUCGACGCCCUCAAGGCGCUGGCGAUGCAGAAAGCGAGCGAGCUGCCGCCGCCGCGGAAGCGGCAGCGGGCGAGGCUGCCGAGGGAGGCGGGGGAGAGGCGUCUCCUUCGGCGACGGCCCUCGCUGACAUUCCAGAGGUUCUAUAUGCCUCACCGGCCAUACUAGUCCAACGAGCGGCCUUCGAUGCAUGAACAGUAGUGAAGAGCGUUCCUACGACCGAGAAUACCCCGAAGGUGUCAAAUGGUACGUUUAAGCUACUUUAAGAACACGACGUUGCUCCGAUAUUUCGUAAAUUGAAGUCUCCUUUUUGCUCUACUCCGUAUGAAGUACAGAGAGAACUCUUAACGUCUUUGAUGAACGCCUGAAAUAAUAAGUAUGCUGUCCCUAAACUGUAAUUUGAACGUCUCCCGUAGUUUCGACCGACGCCCCUCCCAUGUAUUCGGUGAUACCUUCGUCCGACUAGGUGCCAAACAAACCUUGUCCUUAAACAAUCUCCUCGAAUAACUUUGAUUCGAACUACUCAAGUAAUGGGGUGACUAGGUUCCUUCAAAAGUCUGUCUCGUUAAAUGGAACUUCCUAUCUGAUCAGUCUUAUUGAAAUAAGAGAGCCUCUACGUUGUCCGCAAAUCCCUGUUCUUACACCUCUUCCCCACGUUUAGACCUUCCACGGUGGCGGUUAAAACAGCUCUGUCUUGUCGACCAACUCAUACUUCCAAACUGCAGGAGUAAAUAUGUCCAAGCCCCGAGAUAAGGUGAAGAGACCCUUGUCUAUCACCUAAAUUCGAUGUUUGGUGCUGGGUCGUAAUAACUUGUACUUCUUUACUGCUUCCAACAACUUGCGGUGAAAGUGCUAGAAAGUGUUUCUAUACCUCUGUGUUACCAAUAACUAGACUGGCUAUUUGUUCCACUACUUCCUUUAAAUUCGUUACGUAAACGACGACUUUACGUCUUGAAAGGACUAUAGUCCAUACACGUGAAACUAAAGGUAGUAUAAACAGCGCCUCCCUUGAAACUAUUGAACGUUCAAGAGAUACUACUUUAACUCCUUCGAUAAGUCUUUGUUCCUAUAAAGGAAUACUUGAGAUUUCCUCUCUAUAAUAACCUGGUUUCACCGCAGCAAUCCAGGUUGACGUAUCUAACGGACCUGGCGUGUUUACACUGUGUCUCAAAGGAACGUUCUUUUAGAAACCUGAGUGUCGACGUUGCUUACCCCCGUAAUAGUAGUCGACUUUCAUAGAGAGUUAGACUAUCGUAAUUGCUAUUUAAAUUUUUUAACACCCAACUCGUACCACUACUCGAUUCGGAACUUAUACGACCAAGAAUACGGAAUUUCCCUCUGGAACAUUCCAUACCUUCCGUCUGUAACGGACCUAACUAAUUUCUACCGUACUCGCGAGAAAGGGCCAUAAUAAACUUGUUAAAAGUACUACCUCACGCUGUUCUACGAGAUCUAGAAUAGUCACCAAUGAUGUGCCAGUCGUUUUCGUCAAGAAGAGGAAAAGUUUAGUAACCUAAACUUAGACGUGGUAUAGAAGGACACCGCAGCCGUUAGUAUCAACCACCCUAGUGACAGUGUUGAAAGUGAGAAUCAGUUCAACCUGCCUCGCGUGUUGUGGAGUAGAGUAGGUAGUAGAAGCGACCGAACUGUCGGCCUCACCAUCGGAACCACUUUCGCUUACCCUUCGUCGAGACGAGAUCUGGGGCUAAUACGCCAGACUAGAUCAACCGCCGGGGAAAAGAGAACAGGCCAAGAGUCUCGAAACAACAACCUUAGACUUACCUAUACUUCACAACUGUCGUUCGAUGGACAGGUGACAGUCGCAUCUAUCUAAUUGGUUCCCUCUCCAGUCGAACGACCAGGCCAUUUAGACUUCAUUUAAAACAUUUGUGGACCAAUCUAACAGACCAAAGGACCAUUUAUAUCACCUAACACGUCAGCCUCCGUGUGGCAGAACAUCAUGACAUUUGAUUCCGUAUGAGGUCUCACUCUUCAACCGAGAACAUAUUACGGUCGAAUUGGGUCCUGUCUGUCGCCAUUCAACAGGCCGAGCAACCACCGUUGACGUACGCACCCAGGACUUGUGGAGGCGGACCC